rnacentral:rRNA from 1 species
AAUAGAUACCCGGGUAGUCCACGCUGUAAACGUUGGGCGCUAGGUGUGGGGGGCCUCUCCGGUUCCCUGUGCCGCAGCUAACGCAUUAAGCGCCCCGCCUGGGGAGUACGGCCGCAAGGCUAAAACUCAAAGGAAUUGACGGGGGCCCGCACAAGCGGCGGAGCAUGCGGAUUAAUUCGAUGCAACGCGAAGAACCUUACCUGGGUUUGACAUGGCCGCAAAACUCGCAGAGAUGUGAGGUCCUUCGGGGCGGUCACAGGUGGUGCAUGGCUGUUGUCAGCUCGUGUCGUGAGAUGUUGGGUUAAGUCCCGCAACGAGCGCAACCCUCGUUCGAUGUUGCCAGCGCGUUAUGGCGGGGACUCAUCGAAGACUGCCGGGGUCAACUCGGAGGAAGGUGGGGAUGACGUCAAGUCAUCAUGCCCCUUAUGUCCAGGGCUUCACGCAUGCUACAAUGGCCGGUACAAUGGGCUGCGAUACCGUGAGGUGGAGCGAAUCCCAAAAAGCCGGUCUCAGUUCGGAUCGGGGU